rnacentral:rRNA from 1 species
GCCUACGGGGGGCAGCAGUAGGGAAUCUUCCACAAUGGGCGAAAGCCUGAUGGAGCAACGCCGCGUGGGUGAAGAAGGUCUUCGGAUCGUAAAACCCUGUUGUUAGAGAAGAAAGUGCGUGAGAGUAACUGUUCACGUUUCGACGGUAUCUAACCAGAAAGCCACGGCUAACUACGUGCCAGCAGCCGCGGUAAUACGUAGGCGGCAAGCGUUAUCCGGAUUUAUUGGGCGUAAAGGGAACGCAGGCGGUCUUUUAAGUCUGAUGUGAAAGCCUUGGGCUUAACCGGAGUAGUGCAUUGGAAACU